rnacentral:rRNA from 1 species
UACGAAGGGGGCUAGCGUUGUUCGGAAUUACUGGGCGUAAAGGGCGCGUAGGCGGCUCUGUGCGUCGUGCGUGAAAGGCCUGGGCUCAACCCGGGAAUGGCGCUCGAUACGACGGAGCUAGAGUGCAGGAGAGGAUGGUGGAAUUCCCAGUGUAGAGGUGAAAUUCGUAGAUAUUGGGAAGAACACCGGUGGCGAAGGCGGCCAUCUGGACUGCAACUGACGCUGAGGCGCGAAAGCGUGGGGAGCAAAC